rnacentral:rRNA from 1 species
AUGUGCUUUCUUGGUAUCCUAAAUAUAAGAUUAAUACUUCAAGUUGCUAAGUUGAGAAAGAGAUGGUUGAAUCAAAAGAAUUCAUUUUUUGAAGUUCAAUUUUUAUCAGAGGACAAUAUGAAUAUUAUACCUUGUUCCAUUAAAACACUCAAGGGGUUAUACGAUAUAUCAGGUGUAGAAGUAGGCCAACACUUCUAUUGGCAAAUAGGCGGUUUCCAAAUUCAUGCCCAAGUACUCAUCACUUCUUGGGUCAUAAUUACUAUCUUGCUAGGUUCAGUUGUCAUAGCUGUUCGGAAUCCACAAACCAUCCCGACCGACGGUUAG